rnacentral:lncRNA from 1 species
AGUUGAUUGUUUCGAAAAUAUAAAAGAAAAAAUAAUAGAUUAUAAGAAACUAAGAAAGAAGCAUAGAAAUAAUAAUAAAAGUACUUUUUAUUAAUCAAAUAAAGAAGCAUACAUAAAGAAAAUAAAUAAAAUUACAAUACAAGAUAACUAAAUCAAGUUGAUCUUCUUGCUGCAUCCGAUGGUGGAUGUGUCUCUUUGAAUCCU